UUCAGGUGAAGUCAGUGAUCCUAUGCUGCCGAGAAAAGCCUCUAGCGAGUUCUUAGCGGCCCGUACCCCAAACCGACACAGGUGGUCAGGUAGAGAAUACCAAGGCGACGGGCGAACUGUGGUUAAGGAACUCGGCAAAUUACCCCCGUAACUUCGGGAGAAGGGGGGCCGGACACGUGAAGCAACACGCUUGUGGAGCGUGGUAUGGCCGCAGAGACCAGGGGGAAGCGACUGUUUACUAAAAACACAGGUCCAUGCGAAGAAGUAAUUCGAUGUAUAUGGACUGACGCCUGCCCGGUGCUGGAACGUUAAGGGGACCUGUUAGCUCUUCGGGGCGAAGCGGAGAACUUAAGCGCCAGUAAACGGCGGUGGUAACUAUAACCAUCCUAAGGUAGCGAAAUUCCUUGUCGGGUAAGUUCCGACCUGCACGAAUGGCGUAACGACUUCCCUACUGUCUCAACCACAGGCCCGGCGAAAUUGCAGUACGAGUAAAGAUGCUCGUUACGCGCGGCAGGACGGAAAGACCCCGGGACCUUUACUAUAGCUUGACAUUGGUAUCUGAGUUAAUUUGUGUAGGAUAGGUGGGAGCCUGUGAAGCUCGUACGCCAGUACGGGUGGAGGCAAUCUUGAAAUACCACUCUGGUUGAUUCGGGUAUCUAACUUCGGACCGUGAUCCGGUUCAGGGACAGUGUCUGGUGGGUAGUUUAACUGGGGCGGUUGCCUCCUAAAGAGUAACGGAGGCGCCCAAAGGUUCCCUCAGCCUGGUUGGCAAUCAGGUGUUGAGUGUAAGUGCACAAGGGAGCUUGACUGUGAGACUGACAGGUCGAGCAGGGACGAAAGUCGGGACUAGUGAUCCGGCACCGGCAUGUGGAAGCGGUGUCGCUCAACGGAUAAAAGGUACCCCGGGGAUAACAGGCUGAUCUUCCCCAAGAGUCCGUAUCGACGGGAUGGUUUGGCACCUCGAUGUCGGCUCGUCGCAUCCUGGGGCUGUAGCAGGUCCCAAGGGUUGGGCUGUUCGCCCAUUAAAGCGGUACGCGAGCUGGGUUUAGAACGUCGUGAGACAGUUCGGUCCCUAUCCGCCGUGCGCGUAGGAUACUUGAGAAGGGCUGUCCCUAGUACGAGAGGACCGGGACGGACGAACCUCUGGUGUGCCAGUUGUCCCGCCAGGGGCACGGCUGGUUAGCUACGUUCGGAAGGGAUAACCGCUGAAAGCAUCUAAGCGGGAAGCUCGCUUCAAGAUGAGGUAUCCCACCCAGAAAAA
rnacentral:rRNA from 1 species